rnacentral:rRNA from 1 species
UACGGAGGGUGCAAGCGUUAAUCGGAAUUACUGGGCGUAAAGCGUGCGCAGACGGUUUGUUAAGUCCGUUGUGAAAGCCCCGAGCUCAACUUGGGAAUUGCAGUGGAUACUGGCAGGCUGGAGUACGGUAGAGGAAGGUGGAAUUCCCGGUGUAGCAGUGAAAUGCGUAGAUAUCGGGAGGAACACCAGUGGCGAAGGCGGCCUUCUGGACCAGUACUGACGCUCAUGCACGAAAGCGUGGGGAGCAAACAGG